CCUACGGGUGGCUGCAGUAGGUCGUCGACGAGGUGCGUGCCGGCGGGGCGAAGGUAGUGGUCGUGCUGUCCCACAACGGGAUGGAUGUGGAUCUGAAGAUGGCGUCGCGCGUGACCGGCGUCGACGCGAUCCUCGGCGGCCACACGCACGAUGGUGUGCCGCAGCCGAUCGUCGUGGCCAACGCGGGCGGUCGCACGCUGGUGACCAAUGCGGGGUCGAACGGCAAGUUCCUUGGCGUGCUCGACUUCGACGUCCGGGGCGGCAAGGUCGCCGACUUCCGCUAUCGGCUGCUGCCGGUGUUCUCCCCACUGCAGCCUCCCGUAGG
rnacentral:rRNA from 1 species